GGUGUCGAGAAGGAGGAGGAGGAGGAGGAGGAGGAGAGGAGCAAUCGAUAAAGAAAAAAAAACACGUCCGUGACCAUGAUUACUUACGUAAAGGUAGUCGGUCGACAUCGAUCGAUAUUGUUACGUACCUGUAACAGAAAUCGAAACGGGCGAGUUGUUAUUUAAAAAA